rnacentral:tRNA from 1 species
GGUAAGGUGGCUCAGUGGUAGAGUGCUUGCCUUGCAUGCAUAAGGCCCUGGGUUUGAUUCCCCAUACCA